rnacentral:lncRNA from 1 species
CCCACGGGGACCAGUACAGGAAAACAUUUUAUUAAAUGUAUGCAUUCACUACUAGAAUUUGGGAGUAUGUCCAACCGGCCUUACCUCAUGUAACUACGCCAGCCCAGGACCUCCACAUCUGGUUUCUUCAGCUGCAGGAUCAUCUGAGACUAGCCACUUGGACAGCUGAUGAAACUGAGGACUAUUUCUGUCUGUAAUAAAGCCCUUUUGUGGGCAAAAACUCAUUCUGAUUGGCUGGGCUCUCCAGUGGGUGGGCCUAUGCUCUCCCAGACCCACCCAUGGAUGUGCCCCUGCCCAGUCAUGUGAAAUCUAUAGACUAG